GACGAACGCUGGCGGCGUGCUUAACACAUGCAAGUCGAACGGUGAAGGUGGGAGCUUGCUUCUGCUGGAUCAGUGGCGAACGGGUGAGUAACACGUGAGUAACCUGCCCUUGACUCUGGGAUAAGCGUUGGAAACGACGUCUAAUACCGGAUACGAGCUUCAGCCGCAUGGCUAGGAGUUGGAAAGAUUUUUCGGUCAAGGAUGGACUCGCGGCCUAUCAGCUUGUUGGUGAGGUAAUGGCUCACCAAGGCGACGACGGGUAGCCGGCCUGAGAGGGUGACCGGCCACACUGGGACUGAGACACGGCCCAGACUCCUACGGGAGGCAGCAGUGGGGAAUAUUGCACAAUGGGCGCAAGCCUGAUGCAGCAACGCCGCGUGAGGGACGACGGCCUUCGGGUUGUAAACCUCUUUUGGCAGGGAAGAAGCGCAAGUGACGGUACCUGCAGAAAAAGCACCGGCUAACUACGUGCCAGCAGCCGCCGUAAGAC
rnacentral:rRNA from 1 species